UAUACACAUACACAUUACACCGGAUGUCAUCUAAAGUAAUUGAAGGUUCUUGAACAAAUGAUUUAGUACAUAACAUCUAAGUUACCCCGGCUCUGAUUCAGUACAUUUAAAACAUCUACGAUUCUUCGGCUCGCUGCUUGUCUGCUGACAGUUGAAAUGGGACCGCUACAUCUAUUGGUUCUGUUGAUGCUUAUUGCAUCCACUCAAGCAUUCGUCGUACGACGGGAGGUUUACGUAGCUGACCCGUGUAACCGAGUCUGUCCCCCCGUGCUCAAGCCGGUCUGUGGAACCAACGGUCGCUCCUACGCCAGCAUGUGCACCCUGCUCAAGGCCCGAUGCAAGCAACCGACUCUGACCUUUGAUCACAUGGGAUACUGUGAACAUGGACACUAGAUCAAUGGAGGCUGGCGGCAUAAGGCUUAGGAACACCCUCUUU